ACCACAAGACAUUGGUUAAGUGUCAAGGGAGGAGAAAAGCCUUGGUGUGGGGUGUAUUUAAUGUCAUGUGAGCUGUGAAUACCUUGUACUCUACUCUGCCUACCUGGCGAGAGAUACCCUGCAUAUUAAAACUGCUGUCGAUUGAAGACAAGACGACUUGGUGUGGUUUCUUUUUUUCAAAACACUUAACCUCCCCUAUUAAAUCAACAUCACUGGCGAGCCAGCUUCAUCUUUUCCAAACACCGGGGAGGGUCGAUACCCAGACUGCGGAGAAAGCUGUUCGUUUCACCUGAAUUCCGCGGUCCUUGGACCAGUAUGAGAUGGAGACUGCUUCUAACCUUGAAUCCUAAACAGUGCGGAGUCGAUUGACUUGGGAACACAGCUCAAACCUACAAUCACAGACUUUUUUUUAUGUAGACAUGCAGUUAAGCCAUACAUAGAUCGACCGCUGAACUGGCGCAGUCAGUGUUACUAUAUAGAAGUUCUGGACAGAUUGUUUCACUGGUGUUCCUGUGUACCACGUUCCUUUUUCUUCAAGUUGGUUCCUUGUUGCUGGUUGCUUGCAGUUGCAUCAGCAGGGACUGGGGCACUUGUCAGGAUAGAAUGGAAAAUGAGUGGAGCAAAGUACAGAGAAGUCCUUGAGGAAAACCUGUUGCACUCUGCAAGAAAGCUGAAACUGGGACGAAAGUUCACCUUUCAGCAUGACAACGACUCAAACCACACAGCCAAAGCUACACUGGAGUGGCUAAGGAACAAAAAGGUAAAUGUCCUUGAGUGGCCCAGUCAGAGCCCUGACCUAAAUCCAAUCGAAAAUGUGUGGCAUGACUUGAAGAUUGCUGUCCAUCAACGCUCCCCAAGGAACUUGACAGAGCUUGAACAGUUUUAUAAAUAAGAAUGGUCAAAUAUUGCCAAAUCUAGGUGUGCAAAGUUGGUAGAGACCUAUCCCAACAGACUCACAGCUGUAAUUGCUGCCAAAGGUGCUUCCACCAAGUAUUAACUCAGGGGGGUGGAGACUUUUCCAAUUAUGAUCUUUCAGUUUUGUAUUUUUAAUAUAUAAUUUUUUUCUCAAUAAAAACUUUUUUCCCCUUAACAAUGUGGAGUAUGGUGCGUAGAUAAGUGGAAAAAAAUCCUCAUUUAAAUGCAUGAAACUCUGAGGCACUGACACAACAAAAUGUGAAAAAAGUUCAAGGGGGUGUAGACUUUCU